AAUCAAUGACAAAGUAUAUCCUGAAGCUGAUUACCUGAAGAAAAAUUGUGUCAAAGAU
rnacentral:snoRNA from 1 species